rnacentral:rRNA from 1 species
GACGAACGCUGGCGGCGCGCCUAACACAUGCAAGUCGAACGAGCGAGAGAGAGCUUGCUUUCUUGAGCGAGUGGCGAACGGGUGAGUAACGCGUGAGGAACCUGCCUCAAAGAGGGGGACAACAGUUGGAAACGACUGCUAAUACCGCAUAAGCCCACGGUGCCGCAUGGCACAGAGGGAAAAGGAGCAAUCCGCUUUGAGAUGGCCUCGCGUCCGAUUAGCUAGUUGGCGAGGUAACGGCCCACCAAGGCGACGAUCGGUAGCCGGACUGAGAGGUUGAACGGCCACAUUGGGACUGAGACACGGCCCAGACUCCUACGGGAGGCAGCAGUGGGGAAUAUUGCACAAUGGGGGAAACCCUGAUGCAGCGACGCCGCGUGGAGGAAGAAGGUCUUCGGAUUGUAAACUCCUGUUGUUGGGGAAGAUAAUGACGGUACCCAACAAGGAAGUGACGGCUAACUACGUG